GAUGAAGAACGUAGCGAAAUGCGAUACGUAAUGUGAAUUGCAGAAUUCAGUGAAUCAUCGAAUCUUUGAACGCAUAUUGCGCUCUCUGGUAUUCCGGAGAGCAUGCUUGUUUGAGUAUCAGUAAACACCUCAACUUCCAUAUCUUUUUUGAAAUGGGAGUUGGACUUGAGUGAUCCCAACGCUUUUCCUCACCGAAAAGUGGCGGGUUACUUGAAAUGCAGGUGCAGCUGGUCUUUUCUCUGAGCUAUAAGCAUAUCUAUUUAGUCUGCCUAAAAAACAGAUUAUUACCUUUGCUGCAGCUAACAUAAAGGAGAUUAGUUCUUGUGCUGACUGAUGCAGGAUUCACAAAGACAGCUUCGGCCGACUUUGUAAACUCGAUCUCAAAUCAAGUAAGACUACCCGCUGAACUUAAGCAUAUCAAUAAGCGGAGGA
rnacentral:misc_RNA from 1 species